UACGUAGGGGGCAAGCAUUGUCCGGAUUUAUUGGGCGUAAAGAGCGUGUAGGCGGCCAGGUAGGUCAGCUGUGAAAACUCGAGGCUACAACCUCGAGACGCCGGUUGAAACCAUCUGGCUAGAGUCCGGAAGAGGAGAGUGGAAUUCCAGGUGUAGCGGUGAAAUGCGUAGAUAUCUGGAGGAACACCGGUGGCGAAGGCGGCAUCCUGGACCGGUAUUGACGCUGAGGCGCGAAAGCUAGGGGAGCAAAGCGGG
rnacentral:rRNA from 1 species